rnacentral:rRNA from 1 species
GUAGGUGGCAAGCGUUGUCCGGAAUUAUUGGGCGUAAAGCGCGCGCAGGUGGUUCUUUAAGUUUGAUGUGAAAGCCCCCGGCUCAACCGGGGAGGGUCAUUGGAAACUGGGGAACUUGAGUGCAGGAGAGGAAAGUGGAAUUCCACGUGUAGCGGUGAAAUGCGUAGAUAUGUGGAGGAACACCAGUGGCGAAGGCGACUUUCUGGCCUGUAACUGACACUGAGGCGCGAAAGCGUGGGGAGCAAACAGGAUUAGAUACCCUGGUAGUCCACGCCGUAAACGAUGAGUGCUAAGUGUUGGGGGGUUUUCCCGCCCCCCCGUCAGUGCUGCAGCUAACGCAUUAAGCACUCCGCCUGGGGGAGUACGGUCGCAAGACUG